CACAGCAUCAGGAAUCUACAAAGGUGU
rnacentral:piRNA from 1 species